GACGAACGCUGGCGGCGCGCCUAACACAUGCAAGUCGAACGGAGUCACGAGGAGCUUGCUUUUCUUGACUUAGUGGCGAACGGGUGAGUAACGCGUGUGUAACCUGCCCUGGAGUGGGGGACAACAGUUGGAAACGACUGCUAAUACCGCAUAAGCCCACGGAUCCGCAUGGAUCUGGGGGAAAAGGAUUUGUUCGCUUGAGGCUGGACUCGCGUCCAAUUGUCUAGUUGGUGGGGUAACGGCCCACCAAGGCGAGGAUUGGUGGCCGGGCUGAGAGGUUGAACGGCCACAUUGGGACUGAGACACGGCCCAGACUCCUACGGGAGGCAGCGGUGGGGGAUAUUGCGCAAUGGGGGAAACCCUGAUGAAGCGACGCCGCGUGGAGGAAGAAGGUUUUCGGAUUGUAAACUCCUGUCGUUAGGGACGAUAAUGACGGUACCUAACAAGAAAGCACCGGCUAACUACGUG
rnacentral:rRNA from 1 species